UACGAAGGGGGCGAGCGUUGUUCGGAAUUACUGGGCGUAAAGGGCGCGCAGGCGGCUCUGAAAGUCAGAUGUGAAAGCCCCGGGCUUAACCUGGGAAUUGCAUUUGAUACUCUGGAGCUUGAGUGUGGGAGAGGAGAGUGGAAUUCCCAGUGUAGAGGUGAAAUGCGUAGAUAUCGGGAGGAACACCUGUGGCGAAAGCGGCUCACUGGACCACUACUGACGCUGAUGCGCGAAAGCUAGGGGAGCAAACAGG
rnacentral:rRNA from 1 species